GACGAACGCUGGCGGCGUGCUUAACACAUGCAAGUCGAACGGAAGGGCCUUCGGGGUACACGAGUGGCGAACGGGUGAGUAACACGUGGGUGAUCUGCCCUGCACUUCGGGAUAAGCCUGGGAAACUGGGUCUAAUACCGGAUAGGACUCCUGGCUUCAUGGUUGGGGGUGGAAAGCUUUUGCGGUGUAGGGUGAGCCCGCGGCCUAUCAGCUUGUUGGUGGGGUAAUGGCCUACCAAGGCGACGACGGGUAGCCGGCCUGAGAGGGUGACCGGUCACACUGGGACUGAGAUACGGCCCAGACUCCUACGGGAGGCAGCAGUGGGGAAUAUUGCACGAUGGGCGCAAGCCUGAUGCAGCGACGCCGCGUGAGGGAUGACGGCCUUCGGGUUGUAAACCUCUUUCAGCUAUGACGAAGCGCAAGUGACGGUAGUAGCAGAAGAAGGACCGGCCAACUACGUGCCAGCCGCCGCCGUAA
rnacentral:rRNA from 1 species